rnacentral:rRNA from 1 species
UACGUAGGGUGCGGGCGUUGUCCGGAAUUACUGGGCGUAAAGAGCUCGUAGGUGGUUUGUCGCGUUGUUCGUGAAAACCGGGGGCUUAACCCUCGGCGUGCGGGCGAUACGGGCAGACUGGAGUACUGCAGGGGAGACUGGAAUUCCUGGUGUAGCGGUGGAAUGCGCAGAUAUCAGGAGGAACACCGGUGGCGAAGGCGGGUCUCUGGGCCGUAACUGACGCUGAGGAGCGAAAGCGUGGGGAGCGAACAGG